rnacentral:rRNA from 1 species
GCGAGGCCGAAAGGCGUAGUCGAUGGGAAACAGGUUAAUAUUCCUGUACUUGGUGUUACUGCGAAGGGGGGACGGAGAAGGCUAUGUUGGCCGGGCGACGGUUGUCCCGGUUUAAGCGUGUAGGCUGGUUUUCCAGGCAAAUCCGGAAAACCAAGGCUGAGGCGUGAUGACGAGGCACUACGGUGCUGAAGCGACAAAUGCCCUGCUUCCAGGAAAAGCCUCUAAGCAUCAGGUAACAUCAAAUCGUACCCCAAACCGACACAGGUGGUCAGGUAGAGAAUACCAAGGCGCUUGAGAGAACUCGGGUGAAGGAACUAGGCAAAAUGGUGCCGUAACUUCGGGAGAAGGCACGCUGAUAUGUAGGUGAAGUCCCUCGCGGAUGGAGCUGAAAUCAGUCGAAGAUACCAGCUGGCUGCAACUGUUUAUUAAAAACACAGCACUGUGCAAACACGAAAGUGGACGUAUACGGUGUGACGCCUGCCCGGUGCCGGAAGGUUAAUUGAUGGG